AAGUCGUAACAAGGUUUCCGUAGGUGAACCUGCGGAAGGAUCAUUUCCAAAAAAGCAUUGCCUUAUCAUAUACACCUUUUGGUGUGUGAACAGUUGGAUAGAAAAAUCAUUUUACUCUCGAAGCGGAUUAGCAUCUCGAAUGCUACUGUGGAGAGAGGCCUUGAUGAACCCACAUCCUUUUUGUUUAUAUUGCUCAGGCAAUAUCUACAAAAGGACGUUAACAUAAAGUCUACACUAUAUUUCUAAGUCAAAAAGACUUAUUGCUACAUCUCGUAUGUACAAUAUGUCAAUUUACUCUAGUAAAUAUACGACAACUUUUAACGGUGGAUCUCUUGGCUCGU
rnacentral:misc_RNA from 1 species